rnacentral:rRNA from 1 species
GAUGAACGCUGGCGGCGUGCCUAAUACAUGCAAGUCGAGCGAACAGACGAGGAGCUUGCUCCUCUGACGUUAGCGGCGGACGGGUGAGUAACACGUGGAUAACCUACCUAUAAGACUGGGAUAACUUCGGGAAACCGGAGCUAAUACCGGAUAAUAUAUUGAACCGCAUGGUUCAAUAGUGAAAGACGGUUUUGCUGUCACUUAUAGAUGGAUCCGCGCCGCAUUAGCUAGUUGGUAAGGUAACGGCUUACCGAGGCAACGAUGCGUAGCCGACCUGAGAGGGUGAUCGGCCACACUGGAACUGAGACACGGUCCAGACUCCUACGGGAGGAAGCAGUAGGGAAUCUUCCGCAAUGGGCGAAAUCCUGACGGAGCAACGCCGCGUGAGUGAUGAAGGUCUUCGGAUCGUAAAACUCUGUUAUUAGGGAAGAACAAAUGUGUAAGUAACUAUGCACGUCUUGACGGUACCUAAUCAGAAAGCCACGGCUAACUACGUG